ensembl:snoRNA LOC120094457 small nucleolar RNA SNORA20
UUUCCCAUUAAUCUGUUGCUCUUGUCUGUCAGUGAUAAGAGUGGUUAUACACAUGGAAUAAAACAAUAUUGGGCCAUUAUACAUGGAGAUGGAGUGUGUUUUGUCUGUCUAGACACUGUUCUUGGUACCU